rnacentral:rRNA from 1 species
AUGGUGUUCAAUCUAAUCACUAGCUAUGACUUUGAGGAUACAGGCCCUUUGUGUUGUUUGUCGCUGAAGUAAACGUUAUUUAUAAAAUAAAAAUACUUAAUAAACGGUAAUUCUGAAACGGCGACCUGCAUGAAAAGAUUUGAGUCAAUAUCAUGGACGGGAGAAGUCGGUGCUUAGUUUUUUGAUGAGUACCAUAAACAUUAUCAAAUGUUCAAAUGUCAUGUAGGUUCAAGAAACAUUAUAGCAAACUGUAACUGAGAUCGAAAGGAAAUCUGGUGUUAUAGCUCAACUAGCUGAUAAACACACGCUCCUAUGGGUAUUUGAGAAAUCAGUGGUAGGCUUAGGUCAGCGAGGACGCACCAAAAAAUAUUGGUCAAAACUAUAAGACGUAUGGAAGUAAAAGAAUCGAAAAGAACAUGUUUUUUAGUAAGCAGGAUGCAGAUGUUUUUCAACAAUUUAAACUAGUGCAUUAGCUCGAGCAGAAGCGCUUAGUGUUUCUGUGUCAUUUUUAAUUUUUCAAGAGACAGCCAAAGGCACUGAAUGAAUAAUUUUUCGUAAAUUUUCGUAAAACUAAGGAAAAAUUAAGGAAAAAAGGCGAUCAGAUACCGCCCUAGUUCUAACCAUAAACUAGGCCAACCAGCAAUUUGCUUGCGUAUGUCUUACGACUAAGUGAGAGGCCACGGGAAACCAAAGUAGGGUUACAGGGGAAGUAUAGUUACAAAGCUGAAACUCAAAGGAAUUGACGGAAAAGCACCACCAGGAGUAGAGCCUGCGGCUUAAUUUGACUCAGUACGGGAAAACUUACCUGGUCCUGACACUAGAAUGGUUGACAGAUCGAUAGCUCUUUCUUGAUCUGGUGGAUGGUGGUGCAUGGCCGUUCUUAGUUGGUGGAGUGAUUUCUCUGGUUAAUUCCGAUAACGAACGAGACUCUAGCGUAUUAAAUAAUACACGGAAUCUUGUCUUCCGUGAGGUUCCUUAAUAAGAUCAAGUGUGUUUAACACUUUGAAACAGAGCAAUAACAGGUCUGUGAUGCCCUUAGAUGUUCGGGGCCGCACGCGCGCUACGUUGAAUGCAAGAUGAGUUUCCCCAGUCUUUAACGAGGCUGGUAAUCAUUGAAUGUUUUUCUUAAUGGGGAUAGGGGAUUCCAAUUGUGCCCCUUGAACGAGGAAUUCCGAGUAAGUGCUAGUCAUUAGCUAGUACUGAUUACGUCCCUGUCUUUUGUACACAUCGCCCGUCGCUACUACCGAUUGAAUGGUUUAGUGAGAUCAUCUGGGUAGACGGGUGUGUACUUUGUACAUGGCUGUAUUGCGAUGAAGAUCAAACUUGAUCAUUUAGAGGAAGUAAAAGUCCUAACAAGGUUUCUGUAGGUGAACCUGCGGAAG